GACGAACGCUGGCGGCGUGCCUAAUACAUGCCAGUCGAGCGAAGUUUUUCUGGUGCUUGCACUAGAAAAACUUAGCGGCGAACGGGUGAGUAACACGUAAAGAACCUGCCUCAUAGACUGGGACAACUAUUGGAAACGAUAGCUAAUACCGGAUAACAGCAUUAACUGCAUGGUUGAUGUUUGAAAGUUGGUUUUGCUAACACUAUGAGAUGGCUUUGCGGUGCAUUAGCUAGUUGGUGGGGUAAAGGCCUACCAAGGCGACGAUGCAUAGCCGACCUGAGAGGGUGAUCGGCCACACUGGGACUGAGACACGGCCCAGACUCCUACGGGAGGCAGCAGUAGGGAAUCUUCCGCAAUGGGCGAAAGCCUGACGGAGCAACGCCGCGUGAGUGAAGAAGGAUUUCGGUUCGUAAAGCUCUGUUGUUAGGGAAGAAUGAUUAUGUAGUAACUAUACAUAGUAGAGACGGUACCUAACCAGAAAGCCACGGCUAACUACGUG
rnacentral:rRNA from 1 species